UCUGUUGCUGAUUUGCUGUAUGAUGUUUAGAUCAGAGAAUACUUAUACUGAACUGAUACACAUCUGCAUUGUUUUAUGAUUCCAUAAUGUACUUUUAGGAUCGACCAAUCUGUGACGGUGAAGGGUAACGUCAGAUCUUCUGGGCUGGUUAGAUAAACACCUCAGCUGUGGAAGAUUGCAAGCUGAAGUGACAAAUCAUGGAACGGAGAUGGGUCUAAACGUCAUGAGAGUAAAUACAAGAUGUGCCGUUGACAACGUCUUUAGUAAAGUUGCUGAGCUGCAGCAUCAGAAGAUAGGGGUAACAUCACAGUUACCGCAGGAGCGUCAUGGCGGCGUCAAAUGAGAACGACACGGACACGGUGACGAUCCGGUGAGGCCUUGUAACUACAGACCGCCUUCAUUGGGGCUCAACAGACAGACGGUCGGCUCAAAGCCGGAGCCAGUUUCCACCCACCGCCUCAGGGCAGAUUACAACUACUGGCCAUGUCCUUAAGGAAGUCAAUUAAAAACAUUAUUCAAAACUG